CAACUGUAGAAGUCUUCAGUCCUUGCAGGCAUUUCCUCCAAAUGUAAAAUUUAUAAGUGCACAUGCCUGUUCUUCAUUAGAAACAUUACCUGAAACUGUAGACGCAUCUAGUUUGCGAUCUCCAGGAUUAAACUUUGCAAAUUGCUUUAAGUUGGCAAGGAAUCAAGGCUGCAACAACAAUGCGUUUAUGAUGCUAAGACGACACCUGCAGGGGAUGUCUGACCCCAAAACUCGGUUUGACAUGGUUGUUCCUGGAAGCAACAUUCCAAAGUGGUUUACCCAUCAAAGCUUGGGAGACUCUUCGGCAAAGGUAGAGCUACCACUAGUUUGGCUUGAUAGUAAGUGGAUGGGAUUUGCUUUUUGUGCUAUUUUUAUAAUCCAUAAUCGACCAACCCCGAACUUCUUUUAUGAUCUUGAUCUCACGUGUCUUCUUAAAAUCAAUGGACAUACCUGGCGUCAUCAACUUAGUGAUGGUUUCUUAUCAGCGAUGGAACAAUAUGGGUCAGAUCAUCUUUGGGUUUUCUAUUUGUCACGUUACGAGUUCUUGGGUAUAGACUGGCAGGACAUGGGCCAAACAACAUGUCGCCAUUUUCUUGAGGUCAUGUUCACAGCCCAUGGUCUAGGCUUUUAUGUCAAGAAGAUUGGGGUCCGUCUAGUACAUGAGCAAGACGUGUUGGAGUUUAACCAAACAAUUAAUCAAUUUCAGAGCUUUGAUUAUGAGAAUUUAGAUGUUCUGCACCACGGUUUAGAUAAAUCAGUAGUGGAUGGCGCCUUGAUUAAGAGAAGCUAUGAUGACCAUCACGACAAUGAUGGGGCAGAAUCUUUUGGAAAAAGCAUAUUUGAGCAGGAACCACAACCUAAAAGACUGAAAGAAGUUGAUUGAAUUAGAUAUGAUCUACUUACAAUUAUCGGUUUUCUCAAGCUCUUAAUGUCUGCAUUUGACAACCAAACUUCAAUCCUCGCUGAAGCAGUUAUGCAAUUGAGAUUGAAAUUUCUGUAAUUAAAAUUUAGCUAUUGCUUUCUGUUUGAGAAUUAACGCUGCAGCCAUAUUGCAUUUGGUUAUAGUCGGUUUAAGAGACAUUUUGUACCCUACAGUAUAG
rnacentral:misc_RNA from 1 species